CACAAAACAAUGGAACAGAAUAGGGAAUCCAGAAAUGAAGCUAAAUAUUUACAGCCAAUUGCUCUUUGACAAAGCAUACAAAACCAUAAAUUGGGGAACGGACACCUUAUUCAAUAAAUCAUGCUCAGAAAAGCAGCAGGCUACAUGUAGAAGAAUAAAACUCAAUCCCCAUCUCUCACCUUAU